GUCUUUUUGAUUUUAAUUUAAAGUCUGGUCUGCCCAAUGAGUUAUUAAAUGGCUGCGGUAUUUUGACCGUACAAAGGUAGCAUAAUAAUUAGUUUUUUAAUUGAGAACUGGUAUGAAAGAUCGGACGAGAGAUAGUCUGUCUUAGUUUAAUUUCAUUAGAAUUUUAUUUUUAAGUUAAAAAGCUUAAAUUUUAUUAAAAGACGAGAAGACCCUAUAGAGUUUUAUACUAAGUUUGGUAAUAUGUUAUUAUAGAAUUAUUUUCUAUUUUUAUUUAAUUUAGUAUUUAAUUGGGGCGAUUGAAAAAUUUAAUUAACUUUUUUUAUAUUUAUACAUUAAUUUAUGAUUAAAUGAUCCAUUAAAAUGAUUAUAAGAUUAAAUUACCUUAGGGAUAACAGCGUAAUUUUUCUUGAGAGUUCUUAUCGAAAGAGAAGAUUGCGACC
rnacentral:rRNA from 1 species